rnacentral:rRNA from 1 species
AUUGAACGCUGGCGGCAGGCCUAACACAUGCAAGUCGAACGAGUGGCGGACGGGUGAGUAAUGUCUGGGAAACUGCCUGAUGGAGGGGGAUAACUACUGGAAACGGUAGCUAAUACCGCAUACCAUCGGAUGUGCCCAGAUGGGAUUAGCUAGUAGGUGGGGUAAAGGCUCACCUAGGCGACGAUCCCUAGCUGGUCUGAGAGGAUGACCAGCCACAAUGGAACUGAGACACGGUCCAGACGCCUACGGGAGGCAGCAGUGUGGAAUAUGGGACAAUGGGCGCAAGUCUGACGCAGCCAUGCCGCGUGUAUGAAGAAGGCGUUCGGGUUGUAAAGGACUUUCAGCGGGGAGGCGUUACCCGCAGAAGAAGCACCGGCUAACUCCGUGCCAGCAGCCGCGGUAAUUC